GUAGGGCGCAAGCGUUAUCCGGAAUUAUUGGGCGUAAAGAGCUCGUAGGCGGUUUGUCGCGUCUGCCGUGAAAGUCCGGGGCUCAACUCCGGAUCUGCGGUGGGUACGGGCAGACUAGAGUGAUGUAGGGGAGACUGGAAUUCCUGGUGUAGCGGUGAAAUGCGCAGAUAUCAGGAGGAACACCGAUGGCGAAGGCAGGUCUCUGGGCAUUAACUGACGCUGAGGAGCGAAAGCAUGGGGAGCGAACAGGAUUAGAUACCCUGGUAGUCCAUGCCGUAAACGUUGGGCACUAGGUGUGGGGGACAUUCCACGUUUUCCGCGCCGUAGCUAACGCAUUAAGUGCCCCGCCUGGGGAGUACGGCC
rnacentral:rRNA from 1 species